AUUAAUAUAAUCAAGAGAAAAAAAAUACCAAUUUUCGAUCAAGCAAAUCUUCAUACUUAAUAAAAUUUCAGUUUCGCAAUUAUUAAAUAUUAUGUACAUUUUCAGUUUUAUGUAACUGCGUGAUGAUGUGGAUUGUCGGACUUAAAUUGCAAUUAUAGACUAAAGUUGGAAUUAUAUGUCAAAUUAAAUUGAUUAUCAAUUUAAUUACAAUGCUAUAUCUUAAAGAAUUGUAAAGAAGUUAUCGCAAAAGAUAUUAUUUAAGCCAAGGUAUAAACCUGACAUGACGUUGCCUAGAUCGAGAUUUUGGUUAUCGUGAUAUAAAUGAUUGCUUUUUUUUAUAGUGGACAGUCAAAUGGCGACCGAAAUGACUAAAAGAGAAUACGGAAAGUAUGUAGAAUCUAUGAAUAGUGAUUUCCAAGAGUACAGAGACUGUAAAAUGAGAUUGAAUGAAGUAGAAAGGAAAUACGGCAUUUCUGGGGAAAAAAAUACGACGUUAUUGGAAAUGAAAUUUUACGUCGGAAUGGAACGAGCUAUAGACUCUGUGAACGGUAGACAGCCAGAGGCUGCGAUUUUGGCAGCCGGUGAUGAUGCGAUUUAGGAGACCCGUGCAUGUGCAGGCUUAUCAAAGUUCUUUAUUUUAAAGAUUUAUAGUAUUACAGAAAUUAUAAAAAAAAAAGAAAAGAAAGAUAUUUUAUUUAUUGUGGUGUAAAAGAAUUUAAAAAUAUUCUUCACAUUUUCUGUUAUAAGUUGUUGUGUAAGAAGUAGUGCGAUUUUGACAACCUUUUCUUAUAAUUAAAUCUACUUUUCGUACUGCCAUCUCGUGUACAUUACGAUUAGAUCUGACAUUUGAAACCUAUUAAUUUGGCACAAAGAUCCCUCUGGCGAUGUUUCGUAUAUAACUACCGCGAUAACGUACAUCGCGCCAUUCCGCUUAAAUAAUCACGCGACAUUCACUCAGCGUCCGUCCGAAUUAUACGAGAUUCCUUCACAAUUCAUGCUCCGUCGAGCGUUGCAACAGUUCGCGCCGGCUUGAACCAGGACUGCAACCCAUUUCGUCGAAAACCGGAAUAAAGGGAAGACACCGACAGGGUAGCGACAAGAUGAACCUGCACGCUCGAAGCUACUCUUCUUGUAAGGAAUCACGGGCAAUUGCUGCAGUAACUAAUUAUGCGUGGCUGUCCGGCUUCGCGAGCCACAGUCAGCCCUUUGGGAGUUGAGUUGCGGAAGGUUCGGCUGCGUGGAAGCCCUAUCGCGUAACUCUUCCGCCUUCGGUCGUUCGCCCAUCCCUCGCUCCGAUUGGCGGUGCGGGCUUCGGCGUCGCUGAUGAUGGUUGGCGAACGUUUAUUCGGGGAAAGUCUGUCGGCGUCUUUUUGCGCUGGGGCGUUAUUACAAUUAACGCCGACACAACCACCGUUACCGUCAACUCGCAUUUAUCAAUUAGCGCGCGAGUAUAAUGGCCAUGUCGCGCCGGCCAGCUUGCGCGCGCGGAAUCGAUAGGAUUCUCUCCGUACAGAGAGAACGAGCAGUUCUCUCUGUACGGAGCCAUCGUGGAUGGUUACGUACGUGCCUCCUCCAAGUUCGAUGAAAAAUUUAUGAAGAGUCGGAUUUACGACGGGAGACGCCGGGGUCGCGCGCGCGCGCUUAACGCGUGACGGUGGGAACGAUGACGGUGGCGCGCGAAAGAGUGCAGGCUUGGAGAGGAGAAAAACGUCCGCGUACGAGAGGAACACAAAAUUCUCCUCGUGCCAGUGACGGCACGAAGAGAGACGAUGGAAUUUUUAUAACGACACGUUUUGCGCCCGGGAUUAUUUUAGGGGGACGUUCCCGCGGGAAUUGAACGCGGAGAAGGCGCGAGAGCAUUCGCGAGAACUGCUGUCGGAAAUGAAUUCGCGCGUCGACAACACGUACCUCCGGCAUUCUUUUUUCAUGCUUACGCAGAGGUGUGGCUCUCGCUAAUGUGGAAAACAUGUUGUGGAAACUUGCGCAUGAGGGUGUAUUACUUUCGGUUACUUAUCGGCGAAACGCCGACGAGGAGGGUGGGCAGGGGGGCAAAGGGGAGGGGAAUGCGUGACCUGCUUGCGAAGCCACAGCGAGUUUUUCAUACCGGUAAUUGCAUUUCGAUCUUUUUCGAUGUUUUCGAAGCGUGUCGCAGCAAACGCGAAAGCGUGUAAACACGGAACUCGGAGUGAUAAUCGAUAAAACGCGAAUUCGAUUAUCCUCCAAUUGGCGAAAAAUGAAACGCCAUACAGCCAGUUACUGGAAAAAUGUCGAGCUGAUCGGAUUGAAUGAGUGUUCCAAUUGUAAUUUACAAUUUUGAUUCAAAACAGUGCGCACGCGAAUAACCGUGCACGAGAUAAAAUCGCAAAUUCGGUUAAGCUCUAACCGAUGAAACACGGCACACAGGUCACUUGAGGAAAACAAAUGUCGAAUCAAUCGGAAUAGACGUUUGCUUGAAUUGUAAUUUUGAUUGAAAUAGUUUUAGUUACCUUUAAGCAUAUAAACAAUUAACGGUAUAGUAGCAGUUGACAUUUAUUAAAACGCAUUAAACGCGGGACAUUGAUUUAAAGUCCGCAGGUUUAAAGUCAGCGUGAUAUAAAACCCUGGCGCGCUCGUAAAUUCAUAAUGCCGGCUAUUUGAAACAACACAGUUACAUGAAUAAUGCAUCAUCCGAUAGAUUCCUCCCGGCGUAUCCCAUAUAAGACAUUAAGGUGCUAACAUGACAGUCCUAUACGGUUUUACGAUACGGCGGGAGAACAAUACGCGCGCGUAUUUGAUCGAUUCGUCAUUUCUGGAUUAUACAAGCGCCAGUUGCGAGAACACCCGCGCCCGGGCAUCGAAUUCUUUUUUGGCUCCGCCGCGCGAUUUCGCUUUAGCGCUCUACACGCUGGUAUACACCUCGAGGAUUUCGGGAUUAUCCCAAAUCCUUUGUUGCCCUGGUAGUAGAAGGAUUUCUCGAGGACCGACGACUCGAGACUAGGCGCGCCCCCUUCAAAGGUUGCAACGAGGUCCCCUGCAAUCUCUCUCGGAGCAGCACCUUAGCCUCUUUCGGCCCUCCAAUAACAGGGAAAUAACGCUUUUCACGUACCGAGUGUCCGAAAAUUUGUGGACCAAUUUGACGGUCGAGAUAAGAUCGAUAUGAAGGACGUGUGGACGAGGGAAAAAUCUCCCGCAUAUGACGCGCAUACGAGAUUGAUCGUAAUGUCCGCGGAGUGGUAUUGAGGUAUUCAGGAGGAAAUCUUUUGUCGAAGGGAGCGAAUCACGUCGGAUAAGAAUUCAAGUUACAUUAAAUAACGGAACACUUAAUGGCGGUUUGGCGGAGAUGAAAUCUUCGCUAUGAAUGAGCCCCAGGGAACUUCCGUCGCGCGACGGUUCUUCCGCCACAUUUAUCUCAUCGCCGUGAUAUACACAUCGAGACACAGCAGUGUCUCUCCACCCAUUGGCGACCAUUAUCUCCUAAUCACGCGGCCCACAGAUACGACCAUUAAAACGUAUUACGAUCGUAACGUGCCCACGUACAAUGUUCAUUGCGACGCGCCCGAUCCAGAGUUCGAUAUCGCGGCUGAGUUCCUUUCCCGUCAUUUGAUACGCCUUAUCGCCGCCGGGCUAACAAUUAUAGGACAAAGGGCUCUGUGGGAGGGAGAUCUGUGCGGUUCGACGCGAUCUCCAGUUCAGGGGGGUUAACCGGAGCGCGUUUCGUCAUUGUUUCACGGCGAGGAUGGACUCUCAUUGUUCUCGCGCGAGCUUCGCCCAGGGUUAUGCGCUUUCAACGGGGGGUGAACGUAAACGCUUUCAGGGAUCCCGGGUUCCGCGUAACCCGGGGAACUUGGAUGUGCGGACGACGACGACGACGACGACGACGACGACGACGACGACGACGACAAGGUGGUCGUCGAAUCGGACAACGAGGUGUCUACCCUCGAACCUCCGUGUCCCGUUGCGUCCCUCAUUUGUUGCCGCCUCUCCCUCGUACACAUAUAGGUCAGGUACUCUCGAGAUACGAAAUAGCGCCGGCGGCGGAGCGUGGUACUGAAUUAUUGAAUCACUAUAGCCCGGCCCAUAUCACCGCGGCGCAGUAACAAGAUUGUACGUCCGCCAUUACGCUUCCCGUCCGGAUAAAUAGCGGCGGGCCGGCCAUCUGGAAUCACCCUGCGAGCGACCACUCCUGGAUAUCAGAUCGAGAAUCCCGAUUGCGCGAACGGUUCGCUUUGAUUGCGGUGAUCUAUGAAAGCUGUUGCGUCAGAUCAUGAUUGCAACAACCCGGAGGUUUCGCAAUUCCUCUGUCACAGUUGAUGUCAGUGCUGACGACGGAUGGACAAUUGAUCAGUGACGACUAACUGAUAGCCGCGAUAAUUUUGCAGCGUAUUAAAACGCGAUUUCUCAAGUGCCUUUAGCGUUUAAGGAAAUAAGUAGCAGUAUAUGAUGUGGGUAAUGCGCGCGGUUCCCUCUCGAGAUUAAAAAUUAACAUUUAUAAAUAAACGUUCUUAAAUAGGUCUAGAAACAGUAUUAAGGAUGGUUGUAAGAAAUCGAUGACGGUACAUAUGGCGUGCUAUCGCGAUAUGCCCGUGUUGCAUUAGAGUGGAAUUUAAAGAAAAUAUCGCCAUGUUUACGCUGCUGAUUUUAAGGAAGCACCGUCGUCGCCUGCCGAUAUCUACGUGUCGUAAAACAACAUCACUCGCCUAGAUUCAACGACGAAUGCAACAAUCACGAUUCUUUACCGAUUACUCAAUGCCGAGCGUUUGAUUACAUGGCAUAGCCGGAAGGGACGAUGUUUAAUUUCUUCGCUCCUGCAUAAAUGCCACUAUAAGAAACAUUAAGGAUACACGAACAGAUUGCUGGUGAGGGGGUGCACGCGACAUGGACACAGGUACGUACACAUAUACGUAAACGUACGUGAGUAAACGAAGGAGCCGUUAGUGACAGUGGCUUUGUAAAACCACCUCCUAGCUUUCAGUUUUACAAUACACGCCACCUCCCUUUUGUACCCCCCGGGUAAAAUGAUGCGCGCACGGUUACGUUAAAGCGGAAACAGGCCGCGCUUUUCAAUAAGCGGACUGCCGCUGCGUUCUUGCCGCGAGAACGGCACAAUUAGUUAUUACCGUGAUCCACAAACCGGCGUUAUUAUCUUAAAAGCCGCUACUUCGUACAACGGCCGGAAGUUUCCUUGGAAAAUGCUUCCGCAGAAAGUUGAAAUAUUAGCAGUUCCGUAAAUCUCGCCUCGUAAAUUUCGCUGCUUUCUUACACGAAAAAUUGCACAUCAGUCAUUAAUAAGACAGCGUAAUGCGCUGUGCUGCAAAGAAUUUCGCAUUAUUUCUCGUUAGAGGGGCUGAAUACAGGCAAUAUUGAUUUUAUCUACCAUCCGAAAGGAAAAAAUAAAGUCGCGAAACAUUCGUUUCGUCUUAUCUCGUUCUUCAUAGAAACGAACAUACGCGCCUUUAUGUACAAAAAUAAAACCGCGCCAUAAAAUGCCAAUCUGAGCCAAGUCUUAUCGGAAAAUAAACACUUAUUAAGGGUAAAAAGUGAAACGUAAUAAAUGUAACAGCUGUGCGGAAGAAGAAUGUGAAAUCUCUGUUUUGUGAAGAAACAACUUGAAAACAGUUUUCAUAAUACAAAAAGAGAGUAUCGACAGUCUGUUAUUGAUUUGAACCGGAUGCGCAUAAAGCAGAACUGUCUUAUAGAAUCUUUUGGUAGACUGGUAUAUUUUUCUUUAUAACUAUGUUAGAUGUAAAAAUGAUGACAUCUUCUCUCUCCUCGUAAUAAAUAAAAUAAUAUAUGUAUAUCAUAAAAAAAUUUAAUGGAUAUACGUCUGGUUGAUAGGGUUUUUCAAAUAACACACAAGCAUAGAGUCCAUAGUAGAGUUUUUAUACUUGCUUCUUAUAUUUAAUAGGUAUAUAAUGAUUACAAUCUAAGACUCUGCGUAUAAAUCCGCACAAGAUCUCUUUCAAUGUGUUCGUACACAAUUAGCGCCAUGCUUUUAAUGUACCUUUAGUGCCAGCUUUGAGAGCUCAUAUACAUCGAUCGGUCUGAUAGUAUCGGGUGUGCCGUCGCUAUUAUUGACGGUAACAUCGUUAAAGUUAAACACACUGAUCAACGGUAAACGUCCCAGUACCAGAAAGUAU
rnacentral:lncRNA from 1 species